GAUGAACGCUGGCGGCGUGCCUAAUACAUGCAAGUCGAGCGAACAGACGAGGAGCUUGCUCCUCUGACGUUAGCGGCGGACGGGUGAGUAACACGUGGAUAACCUACCUAUAAGACUGGGAUAACUUCGGGAAACCGGAGCUAAUACCGGAUAAUAUAUUGAACCGCAUGGUUCAAUAGUGAAGGACGGUUUUGCUGUCACUUAUAGAUGGAUCUGCGCCGCAUUAGCUAGUUGGUAAGGUAACGGCUUACCAAGGCAACGAUGCGUAGCCGACCUGAGAGGGUGAUCGGCCACACUGGAACUGAGACACGGUCCAGACUCCUACGGGAGGCAGCAGUAGGGAAUCUUCCGCAAUGGGCGAAAGCUUGACGGAGCAACGCCGCGUGAGUGAUGAAGGUCUUCGGAUCGUAAAACUCUGUUAUUAGGGAAGAACAAAUGUGUAAGUAACUAUGCACGUCUUGACGGUACCUAAUCAGAAAGCCACGGCUAACUACGUG
rnacentral:rRNA from 1 species